rnacentral:lncRNA from 1 species
AGCGGAGAAAGUCUAAGAAAAGGGGAUUUCGAUAUGAUUUUUAAGAAGAAAGAAGGAGAGAUUAAGAAGGAGCAAGCAAAGUAUUGUUUACUACUUCUAGAAUCAAGCGUAAGUUUUUUAUGCUAACCAAUUUAUGAAUUAAGGCAAAUACGAGUUUAGCGUUUAAUAACCCUAAUCAUAACAAUUGAAUUCUAUAUUAAAAUUUUGAUGAGUAGUAGAAAAUAGAAGUGGUAAUUACUUGAUUCUAAGUGUGUAGAGUAAUAACAAGAAUUAAUUUUGUGUGAUUGGGGAUGAAUUUCUGACCCUAGAAAUUGAAGUUCGUGAUUUUGCCGAAUUGAGUUCAUAAUGUGUCUAUUAAAGAUAUAAAGAUGAUCAAUUCUAAGUACAUGAAUAAAUUGAGUAUUUGAUAUUUUGCUACACAUAAUUGAGUAUUGUGGAGCUAUGUUGUAGUGUUAUUGAUUAUGAACGCGUCAUAACAUGUAAGAGUUGUAUUAUUGACUAGGUUUGGGUGAAACAAAACUUGGAACGAGAUCUCGUAGAAUUGGAAAAAGAUAUUAUCAACCUAAUCAAGGUGAGUAGUUUAACUUUAACUCACACUAUGUAUUGUGUUGUAUUGUUUAGAGCUAUAUAUCUAUAUUUACGUUCCUAUAUGUCGUUACAUGAAUAUAACAAAAUGAGUAUUUUAGCAUGACUUAUAAUGGGUAUAAGUCUGGUAAGUUAAAAGUAUGCCAAGAGAAGGGUGCAUGUGUUGUUGUAGCUAUAUAUGAGUAUUAUGAAAAUUUUCAUAUAAUAUGCAAGCCUCCUAAUGAGUUAUAUGUUGGCAUUAUUUUGGAGAACAUUAAGUUAAAAAUGACGAAUAUGAUUAUAUGAUAACGAUGUAUUAUGAUGUGAUAACGUAUGGUUAAAUUACUCAUGAAGUAUAUUCUUAUUUUGUGAAUGUGAUUGUGGAUAACAGGAAACGUAAACCAAGGCAAGGGAAACGGAAUAAUUGAAAAUUAGGAGUCAGUUUAUAUAUAAUUAUUAUCUUUUGUAUAAAACUUCAUGUGUCAAGACACCAGAUAGAUCUUGGUGUAGUUUUAAUGUGUUUGUAUGUAUUUCCUUUUGUCUGUAGAUAGUUAACUAAUCACGGUGGUUUGAUGAAUCAUAUUUCUAAAAAUUUGGGUGUAUUUUGCUUAUAAAAUUUGAGAAAAAAUCUAUUUUGCUGCACUUAAUUCCAGC